CAAUAGCGUAUAUUAACGUUGUUGCAGUUAAAAAGCUCGUAGUUGGAUUUCUGUCAAGGACAACUGGUCCGCCCUCCGGGUGAGCACAUAGUUUGGUCUUGGCAUCUUGCUGGAAACUGUUGCUGCGCUUGGUUGUGUGGUGCAGCUUUCAGCACUUUCACUUUGAGGAAAUUGGAGUGUUUCAAGCAGGCACAUGCCUUUGGACACAGUAGCAUGGAAUAAUUAGAUUGGGCUUUUGCUCCAACUUGUUGGUUCCUGGAGCUGAGGUGAGAAUCAAUGGGGAUUGUUGGGGGCAUCCGAAUUUAGCCGUCAGAGGUGAAAUUCUUGGAUCUGCUAAAGACGGACAACUGCGAAAGCGUUUGCCCAGGAUGUUUUCAUUGA
rnacentral:rRNA from 1 species